CAAUAGCGUAUAUUAAAGUUGUUGCGGUCAAAAAGCUCGUAGUUGGAUUUCUACCGAAGAUAGCCGGUCGGGUCUUCGACCUUGUAUCUGGUUUUGUCUUUGGUAUCCUCAUAGGGAACGUUUCUGCGCUUUAUUGCGUGGUGCGGUAUCUAUGACUUUUACUUUGGGGAAAUUAGAGUGUUCACGGCAGGCAAACGCCUUGAAUAUAUUAGCAUGGAAUAAUAACAUAGGAUCUUCGUCCUAUUUUGUUGGUUUCUAGGGCUAAGAUAAUGAUUAAUAGGGAUAAUUGGGGGCAUCUGUAUCAACGCGUCAGAGGUGGAAUUCUUGGAUUGCGUUGCGACAAACUACUGCGAAAGCAUUUGCCAAGGAUGUUUUCAUUGA
rnacentral:rRNA from 1 species